UACGAAGGGGGCUAGCGUUGUUCGGAAUUACUGGGCGUAAAGCGAACGUAGGCGGUGUUCCAUGUCAGAGGUGAAAGCCUGGGGCUCAACUCCAGAAUUGCCUUUGAAACGGGAACGCUUGAGUCCGAGAGAGGGUGGCGGAAUUCCUAGUGUAGAGGUGAAAUUCGUAGAUAUUAGGAAGAACAUCAGUGGCGAAGGCGGCCACCUGGCUCGGUACGUGACGC
rnacentral:rRNA from 1 species